rnacentral:lncRNA from 1 species
GGAGCUCUGGUCAUCUAGUGGCAGAAAAUGACCUUGAGCUCGCGCGGCGCGGCGCAUUGGUGGGUGAGCGACGGGCUGUCGUGCGCGUAGGUGAAGGCCUGCGGGCACUCGCGCUUGAAGAACUCCGAGUACUUGGAGGCGCGGCAGGUGCGCGGGCUGUUGUACAUGUUGCGGCAGCACAGCUCGUCGGUGCGGAAGGCCUCGCACCCGCUCUUGCACGCGAGCACGGCCCCCGCCGGCGACCGCAGCUGGAGCUCGCCGGGGCAGGUCUGGGUGAGGUCCGUGCGGCAGGCGAGGACGGGGCAGUUGCCGCGGCCCUCGUGCGGGGUCACGGACAGGCCCACGUUGAAGCCGUCCACCACGCUCACCCCGUACGAGGCCUGGUCGUCGCCGCCGUGGUGGAGGUUCACCUGCGCAAGGGUCGUGGGAGCCGCGCCGCCGAGCCCGGCGCACUGGAGCCGACCGCCGCAGUCGCCCGUGGCGCAGUGGAGCUGCGCGCCGGCGCCAGUGCACCCCGUGCGAGCCCAGAUGCGGCCCGACCAGGGGUGGGACGGCGCCGGGAACGACUUGUGGGAGAGCGCUGGGAGGAAGAAGCCGCCGCCCUCCAGCACGUCGUGGCCGGAGUUGGCCUGGAUGCCCGGCCACACCGGGAAGGGGCAG